rnacentral:rRNA from 1 species
GAUCAUUACAAGUUGACCCCGGCCCUCGGGCCGUUUGGAAAAAAAUGUUCACAACCCUUUGCUGUCCGACUCUGUUGCCUCCGGGGCGACCCUGCCUCCGGGCGGGGGCCCCGGGUGGACAUUUCAAACUCUUGCGUAACUUUGCAGUCUGAGUAAAUUUAAUUAAUAAAUUAAAACUUUCAACAACGGAUCUCUUGGUUCUGGCAUCGAUGAAGAACGCAGCGAAAUGCGAUAAGUAAUGUGAAUUGCAGAAUUCAGUGAAUCAUCGAAUCUUUGAACGCACAUUGCGCCCCCUGGUAUUCCGGGGGGCAUGCCUGUUCGAGCGUCAUUUCACCACUCAAGCCUCGCUUGGUAUUGGGCGACGCGGUCCGCCGCGCGCCUCAAAUCGACCGGCUGGGUCUUUCGUCCCCUCAGCGUUGUGGAAACUAUUCGCUAAAGGGUGCCGCGGGAGGCCACGCCGUAAAACAACCCCAUUUCUAAGGUUGACCUCGGAUCAGGUAGGGAUACCCGCUGAACUUAAGCAUAUCAAUAAGCGGAGGAAAGGGCGAAUU